AACGAACGCUGGCGGCAUGCCUAACACAUGCAAGUCGAACGAGACCUUCGGGUCUAGUGGCGCACGGGUGCGUAACGCGUGGGAAGCUGCCCUUAGGUUCGGAAUAACUCCCCGAAAGGGGUGCUAAUACCGGAUAACGUCCUCGGACCAAAGAUUUAUCGCCCUUGGUUGGGCACGCGUUGGAUUAGCUAGUUGGUAGGGUAAAAGCCUACCAAGGCGACGAUCCAUAGCUGGUCUGAGAGGAUGAUCAGCCACACUGGGACUGAGACACGGCCCAGACUCCUACGGGAGGCAGCAGUGGGGAAUAUUGGACAAUGGGCGAAAGCCUGAUCCAGCAAUGCCGCGUGAGUGAUGAAGGCCUUAGGGUUGUAAAGCUCUUUUACCCGGGAUGAUAAUGACAGUACCGGGAGAAUAAGCUCCGGCUAACUCCGUG
rnacentral:rRNA from 1 species